GCCCAGGUAGCUCAACCGGCAGAGCAACGGUUUUGUAAACCGUAGGUUGCGGGUUCGAUUCCCUCCCUGGGCU
rnacentral:tRNA from 1 species